GGGGGGGGGGGGGGGGGGGGGGGGGGGAUGUCAGGAAAGGAGCCCAGAGGGGUUAGUGUGGGAAUGGGCCAGGGCAGCUGGGAGGGGCUUGUGGGUCGUGCCUGAACAGAGGGGAAGGGAGAGCUGAAGGGAGUGCUGAGGGCCAGGGCGAGCAGGGGGGGACUGAACUGAGGUAAGGCUGUCAGUGGAGUCCAGCAGACAGGUUCAAGUGAGGUGGUUUUUGUUUUGGUUUUGGCUUGCUGUGUGUGUUUGUUCGUUUGAUUGUUUGUUUGAGAAGGGGGUAGAGGGGUGGAUAGGUUGGAUGCCUUUGAACUGAUGGGGAAAGUUUCCAGGAAGGGGGGGGGUGUGGGUGGGGGCAGAGAGGGGCGAGGGGGGCGGGGACCCGGUUGUGCAGAGCGCCUGCGUGGGGGUUGCGUGCGUGCCGUGGCGUGCGUGGGGGUUGCGUGCGUGCCGGGGAAGGGAGCCCCGGGAGCGACUGCUGAGGGACACCGCGGCGAGCGAGCAUGGGUGGAGGAGCUGAGGGUGUGAGCAGGGCUGCAGCGGGCAGGUCCAAGGCAGGAACCCUUGUGAAGGCAACCAAUCGUGGACCUCACUCUCCUGCAAGUCCCAGAGCAGGCUGGAGAAAUGUGGGACUUCCUAGGAGUUUACAGAUGGAGGGACAGAAGCCAAGGAGAGGCCACAGAGCUGGCUUUGCCCCCACCAUCCCUUGCCUGGACCCCCUUCCACCCGAGCAGCUUGGCCCAGGGCAACCCUUGCCCUCCCAGACUGCACACAUCCUGUUUUAAGGAUGCACAGCUUAAAACACGGUCGUGUGAGGUGAAUGUGAUAACCACUGCACUCCGGAAACCCUGCCCACAUUAACAAAAGAAAAGUCAA
rnacentral:lncRNA from 9 species